AUUGAACGCUGGCGGAAUGCUUUACACAUGCAAGUCGAACGGCAGCACGGGGGCAACCCUGGUGGCGAGUGGCGAACGGGUGAGUAAUACAUCGGAACGUGCCCAAUCGUGGGGGAUAACGUAGCGAAAGCUACGCUAAUACCGCAUACGAUCUACGGAUGAAAGCGGGGGAUCGCAAGACCUCGCGCGAAUGGAGCGGCCGAUGGCAGAUUAGGUAGUUGGUGGGGUAAAGGCUCACCAAGCCGACGAUCUGUAGCUGGUCUGAGAGGACGACCAGCCACACUGGGACUGAGACACGGCCCAGACUCCUACGGGAGGCAGCAGUGGGAAUUUUGGACAAUGGGCGCAAGCCUGAUCCAGCCAUUCCGCGUGCAGGAUGAAGGCCUCGG
rnacentral:rRNA from 1 species